GAUGAACGCUGGCGGCGUGCCUAAUACAUGCAAGUCGAGCGAACAGACGAGGAGCUUGCUCCUCUGACGUUAGCGGCGGACGGGUGAGUAACGCGUGGAUAACCUACCUAUAAGACUGGGAUAACUUCGGGAAACCGGAGCUAAUACCGGAUAAUAUAUUGAACCGCAUGGUUCAAUAGUGAAAGACGGUUUUGCUGUCACUUAUAGAUGGAUCCGCGCCGCAUUAGCUAGUUGGUAAGGUAACGGCUUACCAAGGCAACGAUGCGUAGCCGACCUGAGAGGGUGAUCGGCCACACUGGAACUGAGACACGGUCCAGACUCCUACGGGAGGCAGCAGUAGGGAAUCUUCCGCAAUGGGCGAAAGCCUGACGGAGCAACGUCGCGUGAGUGAUGAAGGUCUUCGGAUCGUAAAACUCUGUUAUUAGGGAAGAACAAAUGUGUAAGUAACUAUGCACGUCUUGACGGUACCUAAUCAGAAAGCCACGGCUAACUACGUG
rnacentral:rRNA from 1 species